rnacentral:rRNA from 1 species
UACAGAGGGUGCGAGCGUUGUCCGGAAUCACUGGGCGUAAAGGGCGCGUAGGCGGUCCGGUAAGCGCGUGGUGAAAGCUCGGGGCUCAACCCCGAGUCGGCCGUGCGAACUGCGGGACUGGAGCAGAUCAGAGGCAGGCGGAAUUCCGGGUGUAGCGGUGGAAUGCGUAGAGAUCCGGAAGAACACCGGUGGCGAAGGCGGCCUGCUGGGCAGUGGCUGACGCUGAGGCGCGACAGCGUGGGGAGCAAACAGG